rnacentral:rRNA from 1 species
GAUGAACGCUGGCGGCGUGCCUAAUACAUGCAAGUCGAGCGAACAGACGAGGAGCUUGCUCCUCUGACGUUAGCGGCGGACGGGUGAGUAACACGUGGAUAACCUACCUAUAAGACUGGGAUAACUUCGGGAAACCGGCGCUAAUACCGGAUAAUAUAUUGAAGCGCAUGGUUCAAUAGUGAAAGACGGUGUUGCUGUCACUUAUAGAUGGAUCCGCGCCGCAUUAGCUAGUUGGUAAGGUAACGGCUUACCAAGGCAACGAGGCGUAGCCGACCUGAGAGGGUGAUCGGCCACACUGGAACUGAGACACGGUCCAGACUCCUACGGGAGGCAGCAGUAGGGAAUCUUCCGCAAUGGGCGAAAGCCUUACGGAGCAACGCCGCGUGAGUGAUGAAGGUCUUCGGAUCGUAAUACUCUGUUAUUAGGGAAGAACAAAUGUGUAAGUAACUAUGCACGUCUUGACGGUACCUAAUCAGAAAGCCACGGCUAACUACGUA